GACGAACGCUGGCGGCAUGCCUAACACAUGCAAGUCGAACGAAACGUUCGGGUCUAUUUGCGCACGGGUGCUGAACGCGUGGGAACCUGCCCGUAGGUUCGGAAUAACUCCCCGAAAGGGAUGCUAAUACCGGAUAGGGUCUUCGGACCAAGGAUUUAUCGCCUUUGGAUGGGCCCUUGUUGGCUUAGCUAGUUGGUAGGGUAAAAGCAGAGCAUGGCUACGUUGCAUAGCUGGUCUGAUAGGAUGAUAAUGCAGAAUGGGACUGAGACACGGCCCAGACUGCUACGGGAGGGAGCAGUAUGGAAUAUUGGACAAUGGGCGCAAGCGUGAUAAAGCCAUGCCGCGUGAGUGAUGCAGGCCUUAGGAUUGUAAAGCUCUUUUACCCGGGAUGAUAAUGACAGUACCGGGAGAAUAAGCUCCGGCUAACUACGUG
rnacentral:rRNA from 1 species